rnacentral:rRNA from 1 species
UACGUAGGGGCCGAGCGUUGUCCGGAGUUACUGGGCGUAAAGCGCGCGCAGGCGGCCACUUAAGCCCGGCGUGAAAGCCCCCGGCUCAACCGGGGAGGGUCGUCGGGGACUGGGUGGCUUGAGGACGGCAGGGGCCGGUGGAAUCCCCGGUGUAGUGGUGAAAUGCGUAGAGAUCGGGGGGAACACCCGUGGCGAAGGCGGCCGGCUGGGCCGGACCUGACGCUGAGGCGCGAAGGCGUGGGGAGCGAACGGGAUUAGAAACCCGCGUAGUCC